rfam:Otolemur garnettii contig097780, whole genome shotgun sequence.
GUGCUGGUUUUGCCAGCACAUAUACUAAAAUUGGAACCAUAUAGAAAACAUGAGAAUGGCCCCUGGGCAGGAAUGACAUGUAAAUUCAUGAAGAACAUAAGCAAGGCUAUAUUACUUUGUU